AUUGAACGCUGGCGGAAUGCUUUACACAUGCAAGUCGAACGGUAGAGGGGGCAACCCCUCGAGAGUGGCGAACGGGUGAGUAAUAUAUCGGAACGUGCCCAGUCGUGGGGGAUAACGUAGCGAAAGUUACGCUAAUACCGCAUACGAUCUAAGGAUGAAAGCGGGGGAUCGCAAGACCUCGCGCGAUUGGAGCGGCCGAUAUCAGAUUAGGUAGUUGGUGGGGGAAAGGAUCACCAAGCAAAAGAUCUGUAGCUGGUCUGAGAGGACGACCAGCCACACUGUAACUGAGACACGAUCAAGACUCCUACGGGAUGCAUCAUUGGGGAAUUUUGGACAAUGGACGCAAGUCUGAUCCAUCCAUUCCGCGUGCAGGAUGAAGGCCCUCGGGUUGUAAACUGCUUUUGUACGGAACGAAAAGGUCUCUCUUAAUACGGGGGACUCAUGACGGUACCGUAAGAAUAAGCACCGGCUAACUACGUGCCAGCCGCCGCCGUAA
rnacentral:rRNA from 1 species